AGUUGGGGCACAAACAGUUGGCCCGCCAACUAGACGAGGAGUGCGUCGUGGCGACGUUCCAGGA
rnacentral:antisense_RNA from 1 species